UACGUAGGGUCCGAGCGUUUGUCCGGAAUUAUUGGGCGUAAAGGGCUCGUAGGCGGUUUGUUGCGUCGGGAGUGAAAUCCACAGGCUUAACUUGUGGCUUGCUUUCGAUACGGGCAGACUGGAGGCAUGCAGGGGAGAACGGAAUUCCUGGUGUAGCGGUGAAAUGCGCAGAUAUCAGGAGGAACACCGGUGGCGAAGGCGGGUCUCUGGGCCGGAACUGGACGCUGGAGGAGCGAAAGCGUGGGAGCGAACAGG
rnacentral:rRNA from 1 species